AUUGAACGCUGGCGGCAUGCCUUACACAUGCAAGUCGAACGGUAACGCGGGGCAACCUGGCGACGAGUGGCGAACGGGUGAGUAAUGCAUCGGAACGUGCCCAGUAGUGGGGGAUAGCCCGGCGAAAGCCGGAUUAAUACCGCAUACGACCUACGGGUGAAAGCGGGGGACCGUAAGGCCUCGCGCUAUUGGAGCGGCCGAUGUCAGAUUAGGUUGUUGGUGGGGUAAAAGCCUACCAAGCCGACGAUCUGUAGCUGGUCUGAGAGGACGACCAGCCACACUGGGACUGAGACACGGCCCAGACUCCUACGGGAGGCAGCAGUGGGGAAUUUUGGACAAUGGGGGCAACCCUGAUCCAGCCAUGCCGCGUGCGGGAAGAAGGCCUUCGGAUUGUAAACCGCUUUUGUCAGGGAAGAAACGCUCUGGGCUAAUACCCCGGGGUAAUGACGGUACCUGAAGAAUAAGCACCGGCUAACUACGUGCCAGCCGCCGCUGUAAGAC
rnacentral:rRNA from 1 species